AUGAAUAUGGAAUGCUUCAUGAAUUUGCAUGGCAUCCUUGCGCAGGGGCCAUGUUAAUCUCUGUAUCAUUCCAAUUUCAGUAUAUGUGCUGCCAAAGGGAGCAU
rnacentral:snRNA from 1 species